AAUCACUUCUUUAUAACUUAUUUGCUGCCACAUUGCCCCAGAACAGUAACACAUUUGAUACUACUUUGAGAAUGGACUUUGCAUUGACCAACCAGUCAAAUUUUCCAGCCGUCCAGUAUGAGGAAAGAAAUCCCUCUUUUCUUGCCCAGACCACUUCAUAAAGAAGAUCCAGACUUUUCCCUUGACUACUAUUUAGCACAUCUUCAGCAGCUGAAGGAGGUCUCAGAGCUACACAAGCGCAGAGCAGGAAAGCUUAUGAAUCUUUGUGAGCAGCCCAGUGGAGCAGGUUUUAAUUUACAUGAAUGAUUUCCUAAGACUUCGGUGGAGUAGGAGAAGCCUGAAAACUGAUAAAAGUGGAAUGAACAUUUUUUUCUGCGCCAAGAAGCAAAGUCGACUAUUGUAUCCAGGUUAAUGUCGUGGGACCUGUAAGCCUCCCUCUCACAGUAGAAACCCAGCUCUUCCCAAUGCCUCAGGAAUCAGGCUGUAGAAGCAGAAUAAGAAUUGCAUCAGUGGGAAGAAGAAAUUAUUUCACUUUGGAAUCCAUGAAUAAAUGAAACAAAGUUGUUGUCAAACCACUGUGGACUCCCAGAGGACGAGCGGAGGAGACUUCCCAGGCCACCACAAUGCAGAGGGCUGUGGUCCCCUCCAUCCUCAAACGUGGACUCAGACACGUCUUGUUUCCUCUUCCUGUUGUGUUUCGUGUGAAUCCCAGUUAGCCAUGUAAAGGUUUUUCCAAAUGUAUGCGCUUGUUGUAAGUACUAUCCAAAGCCUAUGGAAGGCCGUAUAGACACUCCCACUGAUAUUCAUGGUCCUGUGCCAUCUACCGCAUCUGAGGAGCCAUCCAUGCUCACCGCUGCUGUGUUUCCAGGAAAUACUGAAGUCAUUUAGCACUUAUUUCAAAUAACAUAAAAUGUAAGUGAAAUGGUGUAGCUAAGUUGCCAAAAAUAUAUUUCACAGCUGUAAAAGUAGGUAGCGGGUACUGCAAACAGGAUUACUGUGUUCCAGUUUGGCUGUGUUGCCAUUUUCACAGAAUCACACAGAAUCACAGAAUAUUAGGGAUUGGAAGGGACCUCAAAAGAUUUUCACCUGCCUCUUCACAGAAACCAACAUUAGACUUUAAUAAAUUAAUAUGAGCUGUAAUUAAAAUAUCAUAUCCAAUUGGCUAUGAAUAUAUUACUUGCCUAGGGAUAGCUUCAGUGAUAUGGUGACUGACAUAAUUCUGCCUAUUGAAUGUAGAAGCUGUGAGUAUUUUAUGUUCCUUUUAACUACCAGACAAGGGGUCAUUAUUUCAAAUUUCAGAAGCCAUCCACUGAUUUUCAGUGAGACUUCAACUUCUAAGGGACUUGGAUGUUUCUGACAAAUUCACAUAGCCUCUUUCUUUUAGAAAGAAAAGGUCCCAAGCGUGUUUUGUAAGAACACAGCUAAUGAGAUGGCAUGGUGAUGAAAACAAACAAACAAGCUUAUUCCAGAGUUAGAGUAAAUACAAGUAAUGAGAUUGAGUUUCUCUCUAGAAGACGACUCUACUGGCAUCAGUCAGCUUAGAGCAGGAGUCAGUCUAUCCCACGGUUUCUAUUUAACUUACAAAUCUGUGAGAGAAAUAUGGAAACACAGAAGGGAAAUUCUCAGAAAGGCCACUGUAGACUACUAAUGAGAUAAAUGUCCCUUAGGUCUCCUGAUAGCCCAUGGGGAAAGCAGACUUCUCCAGAGGGUGAUUCAGAUUGUGUACAGAAGGAUCUGGUGCUUCCUCUGGGGAAUUGUCUUUCCUCCUGGGGACUGCAGGAAGGGAAUAUCAAGUUACCUUACUACCCUCAAAGCUGCCUUUAGAAAUGCCCACUAAAAAGUACAGGCAAGAAAAUGAUGGAAGAGCGAUCAAAACACACAGCUGACAGUUUCAAAACACUAGCUCUGAAGAGAAAUCAAACCACAGUACACCUCUGAUGAGGCCUGAUGCUGUAACCAAAGCCAGCUGAGACGACCAAGUGUUCCUUCUAGAUCUCCUCAACUGGUCUUGCUCAGUGAGCAGACAUUCUCCUAAUAGAAAUCCCAUGGAACUACAUGUGUUUCCCACUUGCUAAAUCAAGAUUUAGCAUUUCCAAAAUAGCAGAUUCUCUGCUGGAGCUAAUUUUUAAAGCUUCCAGGUGUGGGGCAGUGAAAGUAAAGAACCUUUAGUCCCACAGUGGCUGCUACUCAGUUAUCUCAUUCUCCAUAGCUACCCCCACCCUUGACCAGCUAUCGUGACCCUUUGAGCAUUUCCUCUGCCUUCAUAUGCUCAGAAGGUUCUUUUGUAUUAUUCUAGUCUUCAGUAGCAAUUGGCUUUUUGGUGGACUCAUAUAAAUGAUAUAAUCAGGCUUCCUGGAAAUUGCAGAACUACACAGUCCCCUUCCAUCUGUUUUCCAGAGUUCUAGCAGGCUUAGAAAACAAGCCAUGAAAAUACAAUAGUGCAGUAACUACCACCAAGGGCCCCUUGUAUCUUCUGCUCCAUCUCAGCAAGAGGUUAAAUUAUGUGAUAUAAUGCUAUAUAAUAUAACAGAAUAUUUUUCCAUUUUAGGCUAUGACUUCAGUAUUCUUACUAUCAUAAAAACAAAUCAAAACCAAGUUUUCCUCUCUUCUCAUUAAGACAUGCACUACAUAUUCAAUAUUGUCCCUUGAGAAAAUCAUACGGACAAAUAUUACAGAACAUUCAGCAGAUGUUUGUGAUCUCUAAUUCCAAGUCAGUUUCAGCCUGGAAACUUAAUUGAGGCACAUUUACACUGAUUUUAGAGGAGCUUUGCCCGGAUGAGGAUUGCCAAUUCUAAUCCAUAUUUGUUUCUGGAUUCUUUAACAUUUACAUGAAGUACAGAUGGAGUUGAACAGAAUCCAAAUCUAAAUUAAAUCAAAGUUUGAAUUACCUUGC